CUUAUGCAGUAUUUCCAGAUGAUGCCUGGCUGUAACACACUGAUGACUCCUGCCCCAGAGAACCGGGAGACAGCCUGGAGGGCAAGGAGAACGUCUUGCUGUUCGUUCUCGUGGCCACCGGGUGUCAUUCUAGGAGCAGACUUUGGCCAGCCUGGGAGCACUACUAUGGCAGCAGCACUGGAGGCCUCACACGGUCAGCGUUUUGUGGCCCCACUGAAGAGUCUGUGCCUUUCAAGAAACUCCAGAAAAUCAGUUCUGCUCCCCAUCCUGCUAAGGUACAUAGAGUGGCUUGCCAAUGGAUAAAUCCUUCAUCCAAAUUUAGAGUAAUUUUGGGGUCUCAAAAGCACUUGCUUCUGCUUUCCAGCCUUGCACCACAAUGGCUGCUCUCUAUUCUAAAGUAAAUUAUAUAGAGGAAGAGUUAAGAGAUUAUGUCUGUUUUUCUAUUGUUCCUUAUGUGAAACCAAUCCUAUGGCCUAUAUCUACUAUGCACAAUAGUAGGUCUCCAGUGGAAUACUGCUCUACACUAGUCUGGGUCCUCACGCAUAGUCAGUACUGCUGAUGAAGUGCAACAGAGUAGAGAAGGUAAUAUCAAUUUCUAUUAGAAGACAGCAGGACUGCCAACUAUCACCACUCAAUAUGCACUAACAACUUGGGCAAGUUGUCUGUCUUCAUUUUCAAAGCUGAACUGUCAGCAGCCACAACUGACAGACUUUGGUUGCUGCCACUUGCUGCCUUUCAGUUAGGACCAAUGCCUCCAGUCAAACAGCUUGGAUUAAAAAUUACCAGUGGAAAUUAUGAAGCUCCAUUCCUGCAAGUAAGUCUUGAUUUCAUCUGAUGGAAUGUAGCUGUUGGUUACCAAGUGAAACAUGUACAGUAUAUGCUCUGUCUGAACAUAACAACAUGAUGGUAAUGUGGUUGAAAAAACCCAUACCCAGUUAUAGUACUAGCAGAUAUUUUAUAAUAAAGCAUGUUAUAAUUGUGGUUUAUAAACCUAGGUGCUUUAGCCAUUUAUGUGUUCUUAGGGAAAUAUCUAAUAUUUUAAGUAGUUCUGUUGUGUUUGUUAAGUUAUAUAGGUUGACAAUAUAUUAUCAAGCUGAUAAUGUGUACUUGCUGGCUGUAUUUCUUCCAAAAUAAAGCAGUAAUUACAUGUUGACAGUGGAGAAAGAGGGGCUGGGUUCCUGCAGCUGAGUACCCAGAAAAGGCAGGAAUGAGUCAGAAGUGUUUAUUAGGAAGAAGCCAACAGAGAGAGUUUUGAAGUCCAGAUUGUUAGCUAAAAAGAGACUUUGUGAUUAAAGAAACUGACUGCUCUUGCAUCUGUUCCUGAGAAAAUGAGAAAUGAAAAGGGAUAUAUUCUAAUUAGGAUAACAGCUAAACUUGCCUAUUACCUACAUCUAAGGGUGAAGAACUCCCCUAUUGACUAUUUGAGCCAAUAGUAAUAUGUGCCCAUGGAGGAACUUGAACUGUACAAGGACUUCCACUCUAUAUUGGCAGAGAGCUGGAUGCAGUUCUGGCAUCUCAUUUGUGCUCACUAGACCUAUAAUGACAGUAAACUAACAAAAAGC